rnacentral:rRNA from 1 species
ACGUAGGUGGCAAGCGUUGUCCGGAUUUAUUGGGUUUAAAGGGUGCGUAGGCGGCCCUGUAAGUCAGUGGUGAAAUACGGCAGCUCAACUGUCGAGGUGCCAUUGAUACUGCAGGGCUUGAGUACAGACGAGGUAGGCGGAAUUGACGGUGUAGCGGUGAAAUGCUUAGAUAUCGUCAAGAACACCGAUAGCGAAGGCAGCUUGCUAGGCUGUAACUGACGCUGAGGCACGAAAGUGUGGGGAUCAAACAGGAUUAGAUACCCUGGUAGUCCACACUGUAAACGAUGAUUACUCGAUGUUGGCGAUACACGGCCAGCGUCUUAGCGAAAGCGAUAAGUAAUCCACCUGGGGAGUACGCCGGCAACGGUG